UGAGCCUGAACAGGUCUGAGCCUGAACAGGUCUGAGCCUGAACAGGUCUGAGCCUGAACAGGUCUGAGCCUGAACAGGUCUGAGCCUGAACAGGUCUCAGUCUGAACAGGUCUCAGCCUGAACAGGUCUCAGCCUGAACAGGUCUCAGUCUGAACAGGUCUGAGCCUGAACAGGUCUGAACAGGUCUGAGCCUGAACAGGUCUGAGCCUGAACAGGUCUGAGCCUGAACAGGUCUGAACAGGUCUGAGCCUGAACAGGUCUGAGCCUGAACAGGUCUCAGUCUGAACAGGUCUCAGUCUGAACAGGUCUCAGUCUGAACAGGUCUGAGUCUGAACAGGUCUGAGUCUGAACAGGUCUGAGUCUGAACAGGUCUGAGUCUGAACAGGUCUCAGUCUGAACAGGUCUGAGCCUGAACAGGUCUCAGUCUGAACAGGUCUGAGCCUGAACAGGUCUGAGUCUGAACAGGUCUCAGUCUGAACAGGUCUGAGCCUGAACAGGUCUCAGCCUGAACAGGUCUGAACAGGUCUGAGCCUGAACAGGUCUGAACAGGUCUCAGUCUGAACAGGUCUGAGCCUGAACAGGUCUGAACAGGUCUCAGCCUGAACAGGUCUGAGCCUGAACAGGUCUGAGCCUGAACAGGUCUGAGCCUGAACAGGUCUGAGCCUGAACAGGUCUGAGUCUGAACAGGUCUGAACAGGUCUGAACAGGUCUGAGCCUGAACAGGUCUCAGUCUGAACAGGUCUCAGUCUGAACAGGUCCGAGCCUGAACAGGUCUGAGCCUGAACAGGUCUCAGAGGACAGAUGAGAUGUUCCUUUAAAGAAGAACCUGUCCAGAGGACCUCCUGAUCUCAGUUUGAACUGUUCCACCUGGACAGAGACAUUUUAUUGAAGUUCACUGAGCAGCAGCAGAGGAACAAGCAGACAAUGGUGGGCCUCUGAUAAAACAUCACAGCUGGAUGGUUUCUCCAUCUCUUCUGCUCAGCAGGGGUCAGACUGCAGAGACCACGGCUCCAAGAGGAACCCAGACUGCCCCCUCCAUGGUGUCCUGGUGGACCUGAAAGUGCUCCCAGACACACAC